ACCACUCUGCAGAUGUCUCAGCAUGGACCCGAGUAACUACAAAUUGAGGCCAAGUACAUCCUCUUCUCCCAUUACACAUUAUUAGAUGUGUAUCACAGAACCCUAGGAUGAGAUUAUCCUUGCCUCCAUGCGGAUGUACUACCAACCAGGAGGAGAGGAAGAACAAAGAACAGCUAAGUUCCUGAUGUUACCUUUUCUACAAGUCCCAGGCAUCUUGAUUAGUAAGCAUAGGGGGGUGCAUGUAUCUAGAGACCCCCCUUGGCCUCUAAUGUGGAAGAAAAGAAGGCAACAAACUGGAAGAAUGACUAGGCUUUCGGUCCCCCAAACUAGAAUACAUAAGUCCAAAUUCUGUUCCCGUGCCUCAGCAGUGGUACUUUGGCAUUGGAAUCUGGACUUCCGAGCUUGGCUUGCUUGCAGGUGGUCACCUUCUGCAUUCCCACAGUGUGCGGGAUUUUAAUGGUCUCUCACUCAUGUGAGUCACCGAACAGUCUGGGAUUCAUCGAGCCCCAGGAUCUAUCUCUGUCUUCCCAGUGCAAGGAGUACAAGCAUGCACCACCACGCUUGACUUUUUAACGUGAGUUCUCGGAAUUGAAUUCAGGUCCUUAUCCUUGCAGAGCAAGCACCUUACUGAUGAAGGUAUCUCCCCAGCCCAUGGAUCUCCGCUAGCCUGCUUAGUCAUUUACAUUACAUGAUGGACAUUGUGUACUGUGUCGUGUGUGAAUAAAACCAGAAAGAAGACCUAAGAAAAGCAACCCCAGAGACAGACUCGCAAAAGUAGAAAUAGGUAAUUCUGGAAAAAGAAUUCAUUUUAGUAUUUCAACAGUGCAAGCUUUUUCUAUUCUUCUCUUUUCUCUUUUCAAUCCUGAUCUACAAGUAGGAGAGCUGACUUUGGGUCUUCAUGCUGUGACUGUCUGAGGUAACCUCUUAAGACCUGGUUUCUACAUCCUUAACUUGAGGCCAUAGGAGAGCAACAUCAUGUCUGCUGUCUUGUUCAAAUAUUUGCCUCUGAAAAUAUGUUUUGACAAAAUAGUUGAUCCAGUAGUUAGCAGGACUUACCCCUGAGCUACUUCUUCAAGCCACUUAAGUGCCUCAGCCCUUAAGUGCUGUUGCAAAGUCUCAUAUUCUGUUUCUGAUAAAACCACCAUUACUCAUCUA